GGAGCGGCGGCGGUCUGGCUCCCGCACCACCCUGCUAAGGUGGAGUCCCCUUACGGGGACCGAGGGUUCAAAUCCCUCCGUCUCCG
rnacentral:tRNA from 1 species